GAUGAACGCUGGCGGCGUGCUUAACACAUGCAAGUCGAACGAUGAAGCUCCAGCUUGCUGGGGUGGAUUAGUGGCGAACGGGUGAGUAACACGUGAGUAACCUGCCCUUGACUCUGGAUAAGCCUUGGAAAACGGGGGUCUAAUACCGGAUAGGAGCAUUCACCGCAUGGUGGGUGUUGGAAAGAAUUUCGGUCUUGGAUGGACUCGCGGCCCAUCAGCUUGUUGGUGAGGUAAUGGCUCACCAAGGCGACGACGGGUAGCCGGCCUGAGAGGGUGACCGGCCACACUGGGACUGAGACACGGCCCAGACUCCUACGGGAGGCAGCAGUGGGGAAUAUUGCACAAUGGGCGCAAGCCUGAUGCAGCGACGCCGCGUGAGGGAUGACGGCCUUCGGGUUGUAAACCUCUUUCAGUAGGGAAGAAGCGAAAGUGACGGUACCUGCAGAAGAAGCACCGGCUAACUACGUG
rnacentral:rRNA from 1 species